rnacentral:lncRNA from 1 species
UGGGUUUUCGGCUCGAUCACCGAAUCUUCGGCUCGAUCGUCGAAUCUACGUCUCGAUCAUCGAAUCUACAUCUCGAUCGACGAAUCUACGGCUCUUCGGCUCGAUCGCCGAAUCUUCGGCUCGAUCUUCAAAUCUACGUCUCGAUCGUCGAAUCUACGUCUCGAUCGAUGAAUCUACUGCUCUUCAAUUUGAUCGCCGAAUCUUCGGCUCGAUCGUCA